CUUUACUGCAACUUUGCAGUGGCAACAGGGGGGUGCUGUGUAGGAUAGGUGGGAGGCAUUGAAGCCCGGGCGCCAGCUCGUGUGGAGCCAACCUUGAAAUACCACCCUGAACGCUUCUGUUGUCUAACCGCGUCCAGUGAAGCCUGGACCGGGACCCUGCAUGGUGGGCAGUUUGACUGGGGCGGUCGCCUCCCAAAAAGUAACGGAGGCGCGCGAUGGUGGGCUCAGGCUGGUCGGACAUCAGCCCUCGAGUGCAAUGGCAUAAGCCCGCCUGACUGCGAGAGCGACAGCUCGAGCAGAGACGAAAGUCGGCCAUAGUGAUCCGGUGGUCCCUCGUGGACGGGCCAUCGCUCAACGGAUAAAAGGUA
rnacentral:rRNA from 1 species